rnacentral:lncRNA from 13 species
GGGAAAGAGAAGAGAGAGGAAAGGAAGUAAGCAUGAAGAAACAUGUAGUAGUUAAUGUUAAAGCAAAAGCACGGGAAGUCUUCAAUAGGCGUAAAGAGAGGAGGUUAGAAGUGUUGAAGGGGGAACGAGAACACAUAGAAAGAGGACAACAAAUCAGGAGGGAGAAGGAGGAAAGACGGCUGGAGAUGGAAAGAAAACAGGAGAGGGCAAGACAACAAGAGGAGCAGGAUAAAAAACGAGAGAUUGAAAUUGCUAGACAGAAAGAAAUGUUGAGACUAAGAGAGGAGGAGAGGCAGAGAGAGGAAGAGAGAGAGGAGGAGAGAAAGAAAGCCAUUAAAUGCCUUUUAUCUUUAAUCAGAGAGAGAGAAGAAAUAAUACAGGCAAAAAAAAGAGAGGAGAUGGUGGAAGAGGAAAGAAGGGAGAUCCUUGAGUACAAGAGGGGUGAGUUAGAGGAGGAGGAGAAGGAAGAUGACAAGGAGGACAUUCUCUCACCCGAUAAAAGUAUCCGAAGGAGAGCCGUGGGCUGGGUGAAUAAAAAAUGGGAGAAGAGGAACCUCAGAAAGAUAGAGAGAACGUAUCAGAGAGAGGCUGAGGAGGGCCAUAAGAUCGUCCACAUAGCCAUCCCUGGACACACAAGGCUAACAUCCACCAUGACCCGGGCAGAGAGAGAGAGGGAGAAGAGGAAGGAGCUGCUGAAGGCUGAGGAGAGAAGGAAGAAGAUGGAGGAUUUCAAUAAGCAGUGGAGAGAGCGGUCCCUGCUUAAAAAACAGACUCAUCAACAACUGAAGGAGGAGAGGGAGAGGAUGAAGGAAAACUACCUGGAGCAGAUGAAUCUGGAGGCUGAUGCUCAAAUCAACAACCGGUGUCUAACCACCCAACACAGCCACGAUUACAACCACGGUCAGGAGUUGCCCUGCUGGGCCACAGGCCAACAAGUAAGCCAAGAGCCCACUGGAUCUGCUGAUGGCCACCAGGAAAGGCCAAGGAGGCAACAGGCAUGGGCAGAGAACCAGGAGGGGAGUUCAGAGAACCAGCAGGAGGGGCCAGAGAACCAUCAGGGGGGGCCAGACAGCCAGAAGCUAGAAGCUCCAGAAGAGGUUGAAACAUCAGAGCGAAUAUCCAAGACAAAGAAAAAGCCAAGCAUCUGGAAGAAAAUUAGGAUGAGGUAAAGAAUGUUUAAACAUCUAUUCAUGUUUUACACUGUUAAUAUACAUGUCAUCACUUUAAAAAGUGACAUUAUCCAAAUGUGAGGGUUUAGUGUACAUGCAACACACAUGUAAAUAUAUAGAUACUUACCUGUCUCUGUGAUGUCUUACAGCCUCCCUGACGUGCUGUCUGCCUAGAGCUGGAACUCGAUGAAGCCACAGUUCCACUGAGGUUACGUUGGUAAUUAAAAGUGUCGCCCAAUAAUUCCUCCUCCUCUUUAAGUCAUCGAGCCACAUGUCCUCCUCAAAACAUUAUAGUCUCCUCAAGCCAGCAAGUAUCCUCUUUAUCAGGCAACAAACCAUCGAAGGUCAGUGACCCUCCUCCCAAGAACAGAGACUCUCAUCUGUAUCCAAGUUAAAUUAAUCUCUGCUUACCACCUCUACAGUCCUAGAAAAUAUCCCCAAAAUGGAAAUGGUUUCAACAGAAGUCCUCCCCUCAGACCAGUGGCUCCACAGACCAGAGUUUCUCAUCUUUAUUCAAGUUGAAUGCAACUCUGAUCAUUUUCACCACCUCUCCUGUUAAGGGGAGGUGCUGAAAAGGAGGUCUGGGAGGAGGUCUGCAGGUAGCCUGGACCGGACCGGUAGCAGCUAAGUUGCUGGCUCCAUCCCCGGGCAGAGCUGCUCAAGUCAGGCCAGUGAUGUUUGAUGAUGUCAUUUUUGUUAGCAAAGUUUUACUCUUUAAUAAAAGCAUUUAGUAAAAAAGCAAUNNNNNNNNNNCUGACGUGCUGUCUGCCUAGAGCUGGAACUCGAUGAAGCCACAGUUCCACUGAGGUUACGUUGGUAAUUAAAAGUGUCGCCCAAUAAUUCCUCCUCCUCUUUAAGUCAUCGAGCCACAUGUCCUCCUCAAAACAUUAUAGUCUCCUCAAGCCAGCAAGUAUCCUCUUUAUCAGGCAACAAACCAUCGAAGGUCAGUGACCCUCCUCCCAAGAACAGAGACUCUCAUCUGUAUCCAAGUUAAAUUAAUCUCUGCUUACCACCUCUACAGUCCUAGAAAAUAUCCCCAAAAUGGAAAUGGUUUCAACAGAAGUCCUCCCCUCAGACCAGUGGCUCCACAGACCAGAGUUUCUCAUCUUUAUUCAAGUUGAAUGCAACUCUGAUCAUUUUCACCACCUCUCCUGUUAAGGGGAGGUGCUGAAAAGGAGGUCUGGGAGGAGGUCUGCAGGUAGCCUGGACCGGACCGGUAGCAGCUAAGUUGCUGGCUCCAUCCCCGGGCAGAGCUGCUCAAGUCAGGCCAGUGAUGUUUGAUGAUGUCAUUUUUGUUAGCAAAGUUUUACUCUUUAAUAAAAGCAUUUAGUAAAAAAGCAAUGUUGUUGUUACGGUGUGGAUUGUUUUGUUAUUUAUUAGAAUUGAAACAUCCAGUAGUCAUGGUAGAUGUUAGACUUUCAAUGAGACACCUAACAUUCCAUCAGUUUGAUACAAUGUGUGACAUGUUAUAUUACAGAGGAGUCCUCUAUACACAUCUAUUUUAGACCAUAGGAGUAAUAUCAGAUUGAAAUAGCUUCUCUAAGAAUCUGAGGAGAGAGCAACAGUAGACGCAUCGUUAGCUCUCCCACCUCCAGUUCAGUACUCGGGUCAUUCCACCAAUUGAGCACCUUUUGGGGGGUGUAACUUUAUAUUUCACCUAAUUCUAACAUUCUGUCAUAAAGAGCACAUGUUCAACUUAAUACAAAACAUGUUUUUCCAUCUCAAAGUAACAAAUACAUACUAUAGUAAGUGCCUAUUAAGUGCCAAAUAAAGUGACAGGGUUGACUGUAACAGAGUUGACUAUUUCAUCUAGAAUCGACCAUAGAUCCCCAUGUGACAGGGGGAAUGGAAUGCAAGCUUACCAAACACAUGUAAAUAGUUUAAACAUUUCUAGACUGUCUAUCUAUAGGUAACAGGGUUGGUGUGUUAUAAUUCACCCACCCAGUGGUGAUUGCAGCAUGUACAUCUUGGUGGGGAAAACUCCCCCAAAAUGUUUUAGAUGAAUGCCAGCAAAGCCACUACACAACACAACACUAAACAAUACAUUAAUUGCACUAUAACUUUAACAAACGGUGCCCACAAACUGUUAGGGUCGACAUAAAGCUGUCCCAACAGCAGAGCUUUCUUUUCAGCACCAUGGAGAGAAUCCUUUUUAAAAAACAUAGCUGAUAUGGCUGACUUGCUUAAACAAAUGUGGUUUCUACUGACAAUUGAGAUGUACAAACUAUGGCACAAGGGGACAACGAGUGGACUACAGGAUAUCUGUAAUUUAGAUUAAGACAAUGAGAGAGCUAGGAUGGACGUCGUCAAUAUAACCAUUUGUUCAGCACUUUUGAAAUGUACAGCGACAUAAUUUUGAACAUGGGCCAUUCUUACAGUAUUCUCCCUGUACACCAAGUCAUAACUGCAUAUAAGCAGACAAUGAAAGCUCUUACAAUAUUUGAUGAUUACAUUUCUCUAAAACAGGCUAUAGUCUACAUGUGUAUCAUCAAGUCAGAGCAGUAGGCUAAGUUAUGAGAGGGGAAAGGGACAACAUUAUUAGGGUGAGGCACAUGGGCUACUAACAGCUUACUACACAACAUACACUUAGUAUUACUUUCUUAUCUACAGUAUACAUAUCUCCCUGGCAUAUUACAUCAUUUAUAGAGCAGCAUUCAAUACAUUUUUGGACUCACCUUGUUGUGCUCACUUGAACAGGAAGGUGUAGCGGAGGUUUGGCAUCAAAGUCUGUCAUUCUCUGGAUUUAUGGUUCUUUCAAGACAACUGGAUAAGGCGGUUAACCUACUGUUCCUAGGUAGUUGUUGUAAAUAAGAAUUUGUUCUUAACUGACUGAACUAGUUAAAUAAAUAAAAAAUAUAUAAAUGUAAUAUUCUAAAUCGUCUGAUGAUAGUGAAUAAGUUAAACCCCUUGUUUUUACCAUUCGGUGUCAUAUUCACUUUUUGGAGGUGAAAUGUAGCUAAAAAUGUGCCAUCCUCUGCUCAGAGGGUUAAGGAACCGUCUUAAAACUGCAUCGCAUACAAUUGCCUCUAAAUGAAAAUAUCAAUACCUUCUCAAAGACAUGACAUAGAGAUCUCAAACAAAUUUGGCACUGAUAAGAGACCUCUUUUCUCAAAUGCAAUUAGUUGCAUAUUACUUUAAUGAAUACAACCAACUGUUAUUGGUUCAGGAACCACAUCCCACUAAUAAAUAUCAAAAACGUUUUGAUUUUUUUUAGAACUUUUCAUAAUUUUAAUGAAUUUGAAUUGUCUUUACCUGAAAAAUGCUUCCCUAAAACGUCAGAUAUUGGUUCACAGACCUCUUCCCUCCAAUCCACGGUAAUUACGUUUGGACUUUUGGACAUUACAAAUGAAGUCAAAUUGAAAACAUUAUUGGUGUUGUUGAAUUAGGUUUUCAUAAUAGCAAGCUAGGACUGAUGGUUUGGUUAUCUAAACUAGCAAGUGUGUUGGUUUGUUACCAAGGCAACUACUGUAGCUAUCUAGUAAACUUGCUAGCUACUUCAAUGGAUGUUGAACACAUUUCUACCGGCAAAUGUGUUAAAUUAUAGCCAUGGUAUAAAAGGGAUAAUCAACUCAGGGCUUUAUGGUUCUCUGGAAAAUAAUGCAAGUCCAUGGAAGGUCAGUUCCACAGUGUUCAUUAUUUACCAUAGAACUCAUAGUCCCUCGUUGAUUAUCCCUUACAUCACUUUAUGAGCUGGAUUUGCCUUUCUUUGCAACAGUGGAAGCUGCUGAGGAGACGACGGCUCAUAAUAAUGGUUGGAAUGGAGUCCAUGGAGUGGUAUCAACCACAUUAAAGAUGUCAAUUGACUUCAUUCCAGACAUUAUUAUGAGCUGUCUUCCCCUCAGCAGCCUCCACUGCUUUGCAAUUAGUUUGUUUGUUUUCAGUUGUUAGCAUUUAGCUAACAGCGUCUAUGUGAAUUUGCUAUCAGUUUGUGCUAAUUUGUUAGCAUUCUGGUAAUAGAGGGCAAUAGGUUUUUCUUGUGUUUUUAGCACCCCCUCAUGUGCUAUGCUGGUAAUACUGUAAACCCCAGUAUGAGAGAAGGAUGGUAUGACAAUAUGAAAAUCUGGAUACCGCCCAAGCCUAAUCACCACAACUACCUACCACAACUAGCUAUCACAACUACCACACCUACUUAUCACAACUACUACAACUACCAUGCCUAUGUACCACAACCACCACACCAACCUACCAAAACUAACACAACUACCACACCUAUCAUCACCACAACUACAAAACCUACCAUCACCUAACCUACCUAACAACACCACCACAUAUAUGUACCACAACGACCACACCUACCUACCAAAACUGCCACACCUACCUAACACAACUACCACACCUACCUACUACAACUACCACAUCGACCUACCACAACUAUCACACCUACCAUCAACACACCUACAAUCCACAAAUACCACACCUACCACAACUAUCACUUCUACUAUCAUCAAACCUACCCCACCUACCAUCACCACACCUACCAUCACCUCACCUACCAAACCUACCUACCACAACUACCUACCCAAACUACCACACCUAUCAUCACCAUACCUACCAUAUCUAUCAUCACCACACUUACCAAAUGUACCUACUACAACUACCACCACACCAACCAUCACCACAAGUAACAUACCUACCGUCACCACUUCUCUCACACCUACCAUCACCACACCUACCAUCACAACACCUACCAUACCUACCUUCACCAAACCAUCCAUCACCACACCUAUCACACCGACCAUCACCACACCUACCAUACCUACCAUCACCAAACCAUCCAUCACCACACCUACCACACCUACCAUCACCACAGCUACCUCACCUGCAAUCACCACACCUACCUAUCUACCUACCACAACUGUCACACCUACAUCACACCGAACAUAAACACACCUACCAUCACCACACCUACCAUCACCAUACCUACCAUCACCAUACCUACCAUCACACC